UACAGGGGGGGCAAGCGUUGUUCGGAAUUACUGGGCGUAAAGGGCUCGUAGGCGGCCAACUAAGUCACACGUGAAAUCCCCAGGCUUAACCUGGGAACUGCGUGUGAUACUGGAUGGCUUGAAUCCGGGAGAGGGAUGCGGAAUUCCAGGUGUAGCGGUGAAAUGCGUAGUUAUCUGGAGGAACACCGGUGGCGAAGGCGGCAUCCUGGACCGGUAUUGACGCUGAUGAGCGAAAGCCAGGGGAGCAAACGGG
rnacentral:rRNA from 1 species